AGUUCUUUACAAUUUUGUGGUGUUACAACUUAAUAGGGAAACCGGUGGUUCGUUAUAUCUAAGGAAGCGAAGAAUCCGGUGCUGACGCGCAACUGUAAGAGACGCUAAAAGUUCGUUUAACACAAAGCCACUGUCCCGAUAAAUCGGGACGGGAAGGCGUUAUUCGAUGUCUCAAGCCAGGAGACCUGCCGCAAAAAUUUAAUCAAC
rnacentral:ncRNA from 2 species